UACGUGCUUGUUGUAUUUUAUAUCAGUAAAGAUAAAAAUUGAAUACUUAUACUAUGUAAAUAAUACAGGAAGUAAUUUCUUUCGAGGACAAAUGGAAAAAAUAAAUUAUCAUCAAGUAUAAAGAAAAAUGUAUUUUUUUAAAUUUUGCGCGCGUAAUAUUUCGAAUUAUUUAUUUACAACUCCAGUUUGAUGUAAUUUUAAUUCAAAGCGUAACAGAAGAGGUCAGUAGUGUUAGGGGUAAGAAGUCCCAGCAAUGGAAACAAUCCAAGGAACCGUUCACCAAAGAUGGCAUUUUGCAGCAGUAGUCCAACACACGACUACACGUUGAAGACCAGUGUUGACAGUAGCAACAAUGCGUAGUCGUGCCAUACGACUACAUAUUGGGGAUCAGAGUUAGAGUCAGCAGCAGUAGUACAUCUGCUCGUACAUCAAUAACCAGAGACACCAUCAGCCAAGCAGAGUAGUUAUCAGUAACACCAGAGAGUAAUACAUCUGUUCAUAGAUCAUUUAGUUGAGACAUCAGUCACCCAAGUUAUUUAUGUUGAGCCGUUUGUCGACGUCACAUCUAGAUAUAUACAGGGCACAUCAGUCUACAAGCACAAUAUACCGCACGCUAUACUGUUCCACUCGUGAUGUGAAUAUAAAAGUAACAAGGAUCUAAACAAAAUAUUACUUAUAUCUAUAUAUAUAUAAAUAUAUAUAACUAUUAUGGUGGUAUUACUACGACUAUAUCUAGAUUCUAGGCAUACUGACAGGGCAAGAAUCUCAUAAAAGUAAAUAUAACCGAAGGUGGACUGGAUUCCAGUUCUUAAAGUCCUUGGAUAGAACUAUAUAAUAUAUCCCUGUCUCCUUGAAAUAUUUCGCCUCAAACAGUUAUAGUAUUUAAUCAUUACGUUUAUUUAACCACUUAGGACUUUAUAAGAGUAAUUACUUUAUCAUAACAUUUAA